CACAAAGUCCAGCACAUUCUGUUGAAGUCCUGACGGUCAAAGUUAUCCGUCACCUGUGGCAGAGCAGAGCAGAAGCUGUGGUGGGUGAGAGCCUGUGUGGAAACCUGUGCGGGAUGUUAAAGUGAUACUCCACCCAAAAUCUCUGAAACACUCAUCCCCUGAAGAAUUCCGAAGCUUUCGCCAUGGCAACAACCAUCACUGUGACAUCACACAGCAAGAAUUCCAAACAGCCAAACAGAAUUCCAUGGUAGCUUGUGGCUUUUUGUGACAUCACAAAAGGGAAAAAGGGCUAAAUCACCAGCGCUCCAUUCAUGCUGUGACCCCUGUUAUGACAUCAUCACACAGAGACAGCUGAAUGAAUCGCCUCAGUGUUCAGUGACUGGGUUUGUGUUGCAGUGUGAGUGCAAACCAGUACAAUGACUGACAGACACAAUAGAGUGUGACACCAGCUCAAUAUAAUAAUACCAUGUGUCAAUCAGUGGAGCUCUACGGACACCAGCGUCUUGAGAAAAGAUUUGCUGGAUCAUGAGACAUAACUUUUAAACUUAAACAGGUUUAAAUUAAAGGACAACCAAACACAUGAGUCUGGUAUCUACACGUGGUCAUAAAUGAGUUUAGUUUGGUGGUCGAGUGGUUUUAGACGAAUUCAAUUCCUAAACUGACAGUCAGGUGACGUGUUGGUUUCCUGAUACAGUUGUUCUCAAUCUGAAUCACUAACACUGCCUCCCCUCUUUGUGCACCAUGCAAGUAGAAGUGACCAAAAAAGAAGUCCGAUGAUGGAUUUAUCUCCCUAAAUUAUACAUUUAUAUCAAUCUAGCAAACAUCAUAUUAUUUAAAAGUAGUUAUUACGCUUUCCAUAAUAGUUAUCUGAAAUUCUGCUGAAUUAACCCAACAAAAUGUUAUAUUUAGCAUCCAGCAUAUGAGAUGCUGUUUUAUUUCUGAAAACAGGCUGCAUACAUCCACCCAUGCACUCAACAAGCUCCAACAAUCAGAAGGAAGGGAAACAAGGCAGAAAAAGUCUGUAAAACACUUGUAGCCACUCAUCAGGGUCGGUUUGUGUUCCAUCAAGACUGGUUCAUGCGACAUGUUGUCUGACCUCAGCAGAAAUCGAAAGUGUUUAUGGUUUAUUUUAACAGCAACACUUCAAGGCAAAGUUAAAAGUCAGCUGUCAUUUAGUUUAAAUAUGGGCGUAAAGUUGCAAAUGUUUCUGGAAGGCGUCUUAAGAUGCGUUCAGACAGAGCGUGAAACGCAUUAACACCCUGCAUCAUUUGCACGAGUUUGACAGCUGGACCAUUUGUUUUUAUUCGCCCCAAACAGCCAAAAUACCAGCUGCACCUUUGCUGCAAUCUGGCUAACAACGGAUGCACUGAAUGUGUUUCUGUGUGAUUGUGUUCAGUUCAGCCUCUGACUGAACUCCCCAGAGACUCAGAGGUUCUCUCUGUUAAUUCUCUCCAGUCUCUUCUUUUCUCUCUCGUCUUUGUACUCUUUAUGAAGCAGAUUCAUAUGUGAAAAUUUUUCGCUCGAGUUUAAACAUUUUCAACUUGCACUGCCCCAGGUGAGUUUAGACAAAAACACCUCUGAUGGAGGAUACUGGACCCUUGAAGCUUCUUGCUGUGAGCACACAGUAACUGAAGGUGACCCAGAUGAAUUCAUUUUUGUCAAAUAAAGCUUCUCUUAUCUGGAUUUUGACAUCUGGACAAUAAGAGGACACUGUAUAGACAGUGGACAGAUAGAGAAGAAUUUUUUAGUGUUUCCCCCUAUGUACAGUGGAAAUUAUGUGGAUAUAUUCUGGACAGUGUUACAUCUAUUUUAAGUCCUGUCAACUUUGGUUUUUGUGGGGUUUUUGUACUCAUCGUUUUCCAUAAAGAGAUGAGUCACUUUCAGCACAAAGAAACCUCAGAUGUCGAACCCAAUGACCUUCAUUGUUUCCGCUGUAAAACGGAGAAAUCACUGUUUGUCAAUUGUUGUCACGGUUCGGUAGCUCUAUUUAUAGUGACAGCACCCAUACAACACCAAACGGAUGUAUUGUACUAUAAUUACAGCCCACAGUAACCGUUUCACUUCACUUCACUUGUAGAACUUGUAGUUACAUCCAGGAAACUUGUAUCUGGCCUUGUCUGAUCACUGAUAGGAGAUGACCGCUGUGCAAUACGUUCUGUGAUAGAGAGCGGUGGUCAUGAAGAUGCAAAGGUUUGCAGCCGUGAUGCGCGUUACUGAAAAUCCGUGAACUUCCUAAAUGUUGUCUUCACCAUCAACUAUCUCCAUCGGCAUUUGAAAUUACCCCAUGUGUUAUCUCUGUAGCCUCCGUAGCCCCAGCAGGUAAAUCAAAGUUUACGCUAAAAGACAUCAGACUUGAACUUGAGCUUUACUUUUAAACUUUUUGACCCAUCACAACU